rfam:Verrucomicrobia bacterium IMCC26134, complete genome.
GGGGUCGUAGCUCAGUUGGUAGAGCACCUGCUUUGCAAGCAGGGGGUCGUCGGUUCGAGACCGUCCGGCUCCA